rnacentral:rRNA from 1 species
UACGAAGGGGGCUAGCGUUGUUCGGAAUUACUGGGCGUAAAGCGUGCGCAGGCGGCUAUCCAAGUCAGUGGUGAAAUCCUGGAGCUCAACUCCAGAACUGCCUUCGAUACUGAAGAGCUCGAGUCCGGGAGAGGUGAGUGGAACUGCGAGUGUAGAGGUGAAAUUCGUAGAUAUUCGCAAGAACACCAGUGGCGAAGGCGGCUCACUGGCCCGGUACUGACGCUGAGGUGCGAAAGCGUGGGGAGCAAACAGG